rnacentral:rRNA from 1 species
AGUGAACGCUGGCGGUAGGCCUAACACAUGCAAGUCGAACGGCAGCACAGUAAGAGCUUGCUCUUACGGGUGGCGAGUGGCGGACGGGUGAGGAAUAUAACGGAACCUACUUUUUCGUGGGGGUUAACGUAGGUAAACUUACGCUAAUACCGCAUACGAUCUAUGGGUGUAAGGAGGGGAACUUCGGACCUUGCGCGAUUGAAUGAGCGGAUGUGGGAUUAGCUAGUUGGCGGGGUAAAGGCCCACCAAGGCGACGAUCCGUAGCUGGUCUGAGAGGAUGAUCACCGACAUGGGAGGUGAGACGGGGUCAAGACUCCUACGAGAGGCACCAGAGGCGAAUGUUGGUCAGUAGGCGGGAUCCUUGCCCAACCAUACGGAGCGCGUGAAGGAGACGUCCGGGGUGGAAAGCCCUUUUGUUGGUUGUGAACAGCUGCCGGUUAUUACGCAGCUGGUCUGACGGUACCCGAAGAAUAAGCACCGGCUAACUUCGUG